CAGGGAGACAACAAAAUGUUUAAUAUUAUUUUGUCACCUUAGGUCGAUCGGUAUCUCACGUUCUUAUUUUUAAGAAUAUCGUUUUCUAAGUUUUUUCUAGGUCACACCCAUUAUUUUCCUGGGCCAUUAGCUCAGGUGGUUAGAGCGCACCCCUGAUAAGGGUGAGGUCCCUGGUUCAAGUCCAGGAUGGCCCAUAUCUCUAUGUUGGGGGUAUAGCUCAGUUGGUAGAGCGCCUGCUUUGCAAGCAGGAUGUCAGCGGUUCGAGUCCGCUUACCUCCACUGAUUACCACCUCUACCAUAUUUUGUAGAAAAAGGAAGGUUUUGAGUUGUGAUCAAAUACUGAACGAAUCUAGCUUCCUAAUGAAAUCAUUAAGAUGCUGGACUCAUUGAAAUUAAUUUCAUUUGUUUUCAGAAACCUUGACAACUGCAUAGAUUAUUUUAAAGACAAUAAAGCAUUCUUUAAUGAUGCAGAUUUAUUUAUUUUUUGCUAAUGCAUUAAUAACACAAUUCUCUAUUAAGGCUUGAUAGCGCUCUCA
rnacentral:tRNA from 1 species